GGGGGGGAGAGGCAGUUCGUAACUCCCUGACCCCAAGGAGAACUUGACAACACCAGGGUGACUUUACAUAAAGGAGCUCGGAGGAAAAGGCUAAUGGAGUCCAAUCGAGAGCCGUCAGUUGCAUGCACGCAGACCUCGGUGGCAUUCGCUGUUGGAAUUGCUUCUUCAACAGUGACCUUGGGUGGGAGAGAGCCUGUCUGGAGCCGGACCCCCCGUAGCGGCCUCUUACCUCGACCCCCUGGCCUCCCACGGCGUCUCCAGUGGACCGUGUACUCCUAAAGACGUCCCCCACCGGCCAGCUGAGCGGCGCAUCUCCAGAGCCGCUCCCGCCCCUCGCCUCCCUCGCUACAGUCCCAGCGCUUUUUAAAACUUUGAGCGCAGCUUUUACGUGACUGGAGAGUCAUAAAUGCUUCUGCCCUUGUUCAGCCAACAUAGACACCCUUGCGUCCCCUUCACAUUUCAUGAAUUACGAGAAUAUAUAAAGCUAACAUUCCAAAAAUAA